rfam:Helianthus annuus linkage group 4, whole genome shotgun sequence.
ACCAAUGAUGAAAUAAUCCAAAUGUUUGAGAUACGGUGGAUACAAGACCCUGUUUAACAGGGAGAACCACUUGUUUGAAGCUGUAUUUCAUAUGAUAUUACUGGAUUUAACUGAGGU